GCUGACUGCCAGGGGGAAAGGUUUCUUCUAUAGAUUGCUUCUCUUGUAGGUUGGUUGGUUGGUUUGGUGAGCCCAGGACACAGGUGGAAGGCUUGAGGUGCUGCUUCAAAAAGCCUGCUGCUGGCCCAGGUCUGCUCAUUGCAGGGUGUGGGGAAAUGAUGAGUUGCAGCCCACCCAAGGCCUGACCCUGUGCUUUAUUUGUUCCUGGCUACAUCAAUCUCAUUCAUGGUCUCUUGUCACCUCAGCAAAGCUGCAGCAGCACGGAGAAAUGCUUGGAAGAACAUAGCAAGAGACGUGGUGGAGGUUGGGUCUUCGUCCCAUGCAGAUCUGUGCAUGAUAGGAGGAAGAGGAUCUCAGAUACCAUGGAAGCACCUGCUGGUUUAGAACACGGAAAUGUGGAAAUGAAGGCAUCUUUCUACCAGUGUGGUGUGACAGCAGUGUGUAACUCACUGGUGUGUGCUGUCAUCUAGUUCAAGGGACUGAGAUAUGCUGUAUUUUUGGCAAAAGCUGAAUGCAUUGGACAGGGGCACUUCUAGUGACAUUACUCACCUACCAACAGUCCUCAGGAGCAACUGAGCUCAUUUGGGCUCAAGGACAGACAACAAAAGGAGGGUGCUAAAAGCAAAGGCAGUACUCUAUCUUCUGAAGGAAUUUUGGCUGCAGCUGCUUUCUGGGGGUAUUUAGGGGAACUAUGCCUUGAGCUGAGAUUUCAGCAACUAAGAAGUGAAAGUCUUCCUCCUGAGGGUGCUGCUUAGAAGUCCAGGAUAAGCCAGUGUUGGAAGUGGGGCACAGGACAGAGCAUGGAUGAAUGGAUCUGUUCAAGUGAUGCCCCUGCAAGAAAGAAUGAAGUAGCCAAGAGCCGGAGGAGUGAAGAGCAAUGAAGACAGUCAGCAAAGGCCUCUGGGUUGUUAGUGCUUAGUUUACUGAAGAGAAAAAAUAACUAAAUCUGCAAUCUUGCACAAAUGCAAAUAGAAGGCAGGCAACUUGGCAUAAUCCAAGUAAGGAAGAAUGGGAAUGAAGAAAGAGUGUUGAAUAAGAGAUGAGAAAUUGUGUUAAUUUAUUAUUAUGGCUUUAAGGGGAAUUGUGAUUUUUCUGAAGCAGUUUUAAUGAGCAAAUUAGGAGACAGAAGUAAUUCUGGAAAACAGCUCAUAAAAUUGCACAGGGAAUCACAGAAAGGCACCCAGCAAACCUGCAGGAACUGCUGAGGAAUCUUGAUUGGAUGCCAAUAAUACAUAAGAAGUGCCUGGAAGAGCUGCCCUGCACUCAUUGCCCUGGGACCAUGCAGUCAGUCACUGGGUGCUGAUGUCCUUCCCACCAUGCAGGAAUGUUCUCCACCAACAGGACAUAAGAUCUGCUGUGAUAUGGAGAGCGCAGGUCAUACUGCUGGACACCUGCAGUCUGUCAGAGCUACCAGGGACAGAGAGAGGAGGAGCCUAGGCUCAGUGCCAUCUUCCCAUACCUCCUCAGCUCCUGCAAUUGGGAGCCUAACAGGAGGGAUGCCUUGCACCAUGCUCAGAAUAGAGGAAAAGUAAACUACUUUUCUGGUGAUUUCACUUUGCUCCCAGAGCAUGUGCAAAAGCAGGGAUGUAGUAAUGUCAUUAUUGCACCCUUCAGCAGACCUCUGUGGCCCCAUUACUUGUGGGGAAGGUCUGAACAUAUUGGAAAGCAGACUGCUUGAUUGAUUGUUUGUUUGUGGCCCUUAUCAUCCACCAGGCAGGAAAGACUGCUCCACUUUCUUCAAGGAGCACUUCAGGGCAUCAUACAGAGGGUGCCUGUUGCUUCUCAAGACAGAGAAAAGGAAUUUGGGAUGCAGCUGGGUUGUGAGUACUACUCUGCCUCUCCUCGCCACUUCUGUUUGCUAACAAUGGGUUGCCUGUUUCAGAUAAAUGGUGAUUUUAGCAAGUUGGCAACCAAUGGUAUGUGUGAUCUGCUGCAAUGCAUGCAUGUACAGGUAGGCAGGUGAUAAUCCUGCAGAUUAUCUCUGCAGGGCAGAGAUGCUCUUAGCUACUUAGAGCCGAAAAUCUGAACCCAGACUCGCACCUCAUACAGGCAAGUUUAUGAGGUCUGUGAAAACCAGUAAACUGAUGAUUUAUGAUCAAAAGAACAGAACUUGCAAGUAUUUUAUAGACAUAAGCAAAGCUCACAGUGAUACCAUUUGGAGGAAUGUUCCUGGAGGAGGAUGCACUGUUCUCCAAGGAACAUUUGGCUCUGCAGGAGAUGGAAAGCUGGGGAGAAUAUGGGUGGCCUACUUGCCACCGAUGUUUUAUUGACUAUGGUCUUUUUGCAGGAGAGCAGCAAGUCGUAUUGAUGGCUUCCACCUCUCUGAAAAAUCAUGCCAAUUGAUGGGCUCAUAGGGGCUGUUUUGGGAUGGGUUCCACCAGCUGCAUUUUGGGGUCUGGUUUGUGACCUGGGGCUGCAGUAUCAAGCUGAGCAAGUGGUGAUGUUUUUGUCUGGGGCCUGCUUCCUUCCAGGCUGAGUGCAGGGACUAAAGGAGAGUCUUCUGGCGAGGAGCACCAUCCAGCAGAGCUGCCUGUUCCAACAAUGCAGCAAGAUAAACACAUGGGCUGUUUCCUUUUCCAAAGGACCGUGUGUUUUAUAGGUGUCUGCAGGGCAGGCACUCGCACUAACAGCCUGCCACUCAAAUCACAGGCAGCGUGCUGUAAAGGUCACCCUGUCACUUAUAGGAAGUGAACCAGAAUAAACAGUCUCUCCACCAGGCUUUAUUUUCCAGCAGGCCAGCGGAAAGCUUCAGCUCUGCUCUCUGAGGGAAGUUGCCUGCCGUGAGAUGUCUGGGGAUUUAUCUGGCUGCAGCUCAGCUCACUUGCACGCUUGGUCUCCUCUCCCACAUCUGCUUCCUCUCCUACCUCGUGUUUGGCACCUCCUGCUCCUGGCUGUUGAGCACAGAGGCUCCAAAAGACAAUCUGUUGCUCUCUGAGUUCAGAUGAAGACUGCGCUGGCUGUGUAAUCUCAGACUGAUUUAUUCCAGUGUUUUCCCUCUGGGAAAUGAACCUGUUAAAAGCAUCUCCCUUCUCUAUGAAUUACUGGGAACCUGCCUAGGUUGCUGUGUACAGCAUGUUUGUGAUUUCACCAGUUUUUUUUCAGGAAAAGCUGGGUGUGGAGAGGUGAGGGUAGCUGUAUGCUCCCUUGUUCCAUACCCGAGGUGAGUGUGGUACUGCUUGCUCGAGUCCUGAGAGCUCAGUGAUGAGCUGCAUGCCAGAACAUCUGCACAGGAAAGGAAACCGGCCCUUUUCUCACUUCCCACUCACUAAAACAAAGACUUGUUCUCAAGGUUUCAUGCUUUUUCCUGAGCCAUUUCUCAGCAGAUGACUGCUGCAGACCAGCAUGUACUGAUAGCAUCAAAGUUUCCCUUGGAAAUGCUCCAAGGUGUUCAGCUUUCUAGACCACACGUUUGUUGUUCACACCCUUUGGGAGCUACUAAUCUGCCUGCAUUGAACUGGACUUUUCCUUUCUGUGCCAGUGGCUUCACGUUUUUCUCUAGUACCAGAACACAGUGAGCACUUCUCAUCUCUAGCAGCUGAAGUUUAUUCUUAGGGCUUUGUGUACUUGGUAUGCAUACAUGUAUCAACCAAAGUACCCACGAGCAUCUUGGCAUAACAAUGGUACUUUUCUCUAAGACUAAACUCGCUGCUGUUCUUUGUAAGAUGUAUUAAACUGUUGCAUGUCCCCAAUCCAAAAGGGAAAAUUUAUUUGAGAGUCCAAUAGGAACCUCUAAGACUCACUGCGGGUGAGAUCACCCACCUCCAGAAAGAUGUGCCAAACACCCAAUGGCUGAACAGUCCUUGUAAAAUUGUUUAAGCUAUCCUUGCCUUUCAGUUGCAAUAGAUCUCUCUGUGGUGGCUCCUAACGUAGGGCUUUCUCCUAGUUUUCAUCAGCCUUGAUGUUCUCUAAAUGUUUUUUUUCCUUCUUCCUUUGCUUUUUUGGGGGAUUGGAACUAGAUGAUGCUUAAGGUCUCUUUUUGACUCAAACCAAUCUGUGAUUCUAAGCCAUAAGAAGGGUGGGUUGACAUGUUGGGUAAGCAUCAUUGCAUGCUUUUCUGCUGGGGUUACCUGAUACUCAUGGUGGCGUAGGGCUCAUAAAAGGGAUUACCCUUUUUGGUGUCUCAUCAGUUUCUAGGUCUGUGCUCUUACUCCUUGCUCAUGCAGUUCACAGGUCACAGCUGCUGAGAAGCAAGAGGGAAGCUUUCCUGCCUGGGCUCUGGCUGUGAAGCAGGCAUUGUUCAUUGCCCAGAGCAGACAGAACCUGUGCUAGCUCACGCUCAAGCUGUGAGAAAAGUCUGGUUUUUAUCUGUGUGUGAUUUUAUCCUAAUGGAACUGCUAUUGGGAGAAUCCACUUAUCUUGGCCAGAUCUUUAUUUGGCAUUUUGGAUUGCUUUUUUUUGGCAGAAGCGCACAGUCUGAGAAAUGGUUUGCUGGGCCCAGGUGCCAAAGUUUCCCUGCUGAGUGAGCAGCAGUGGGUGCAACAGGAGAGACAGUCAGUGGGGAGACCAGAGCACUGGGGCAUAGCCACCCAUGGGUCUGCAGGGCAGUUGUUGGGGCUCUUCCCUCGGAAGCUGUUGACAUCCUUUUUCUGUGCAUGAGGAGGGAAAGCAGCCUAAAAAUGGUGCUCCUGCCUAAGUUUUGAGCUUGUUCAUAACCAGUCUUCACUCCAGCCUGGCUUACACCACGCUAAAAACAGUUAUGUAUUUUCACUGUAUUGUUAAUGAGGCGUUAAGUGCUCAAACAAGUCUAUUGUAGUUAAGAUCUCAGCAUAAAUGACUUUGGAAAGCUUGUUAGGAAAGGGUUAUUCUGUUAUGGACAACUUGUUUAGCAAGUCUUCACACAGCAAGGUUAGUUAUUCCUUAAAAGACUAACUCUGGCAGAAGGAAUGUGAAAGAAGUAUCUAGUGGGGAAUAGGCUCUUUCAGUGCAGUCUUGGACUGUAGCUUGAAGAAAACACUUCCACCUAGAUAACGUGAUAAAGCUGUAAUGUAAAAGUGCAGUGGGUUGUGACUGUUGCUACAGCUGUUCUUGUUUCUAAAAGCAUUCUCUUGGCAAAAUGAAGUGUGAGCAUCCAGCUUGAGCUGUGGGAGCUGCCCUCUGCUACUGGCUCAUGCCAGUGCCCUAGGCACAUCCUCUCAUUACGCUGAGACCUUGUUUCCAAGUCCUGAGACCCAUACAGGCACUGUCCCAUACUCGCACCAGGCUUCACAUGCAAACUCAGAGGCCCAUUCUGUCUUCUUCCUUCAUGCCUUCCUCAGCCAUGAGUCACGUUAAUUCAGUGAGGCUGCUUGUUGUGAUGGGCUUUCUGUGGAGUCUGCAGUGACCAGCCCGCACUUGGAGAUGCGUGGGGGAAAGGUACCGUGUCAUUACCAACAACUAAUUGUGUUAAGUCCAUUACUGUUUCCUGCUGAAAGGAUCAGUAUUCAGAGCCUGAUGCACACCCACAAGAAAUCAGUGGGAUGCAGGGUUUGUAUUCAUUUUUGAGAGCUCAGCUGGUCCUUAAUGAAGACAGUGAAGGGCAUAAAAUGUUACUUAAAAAGUGGUCAUUGUGCCCAAAGUUCAUCUUUUCAAAUACCGUGGUUUUAUUUCUCUCAAGCAGCAAAAGCUCACAGCUCUCUUUUCCAACAGCUAACUUUAAAAGAGUUUAAAUAUACUUUAAUCUUAACUCCCGUGUGCACUGCCCUCCCUUCUUGCCUGCAAUGAGCAUCUUCCCCACAUACAUUCCUCUUCUCCUUUCCCUCCCUUGUCUCCUGUUGAAAUAACUAGUUUCAGGCACAUCAUCCACUGCCCAGAUUCUGACAUUUUUUUUAUUAAUGUUUGGAGAUGUAAAUUAACAUUUUUGUUAUUCAUCAGAGAUAAUAGCGUAGAAUAUUUAUCCUUGUUCCAGCUGUCCUGCAGAGGAACACCCAGUUCCCAGACGGACAGGAGGGGAGGCUGCUUUAUUCACUUCAGCUCUGGUAUGAGCUGCUGUUUUUCUGGUCCUUCCCUGCAAUUAGGUAACGUGCCAUAAGGAUGCCUCACAUCUAAGUGGCUGCAGCCCUUUUUCCCAGAAUGGGGCACACGCAUUGGAACUUCCCUUUUCUCAGUAACAGGGGGAGGCCAGUCACAA